CAAAAAAAGGAUAUUGGCUGGUUGUUACAUUUACUAAUGUGUAACAUGUAGAAUGAACGAUAUUCAUUAAUGUUUUCAAUGUGAACGUGAUUCAGUCAUGUAGGAUUGGCAUGAACUUCAAAAACGUAACGUUUAUUAGAUCCAUUCAUGUUGCGAUUAACUGAGACAAUCGAGUAGCCAGGCAUGACCGCGAAAACCAAGGCGAAGGCAGUCUUCGUCAGAACCAGAUUAAGAAGAUACACCGUUGGCCGCACAUGGAAAAGCAAUUUCUGACUGCAAAAGUGUCCUGUGUCUGCUAUCCCCCAAAGUGUGUCUUGGAUCAACCUCACUGACUACACCAUCCCACUACAAGUCUCCUGGAAUUCAAGAGAAUCACAACAAUCAAUUUGCAGUCAAAGUUCUUCUCCCAGCUGGAUCUGUACUCUGAAAACCUGAUCCAGGUGUAUGCCAAGAAAAGUGGAGUUCAAGGGAGAAAGAUCAAGAGCAUCAUGGUACCCAUAACCCAGACUGCCAGCAUUGACGUCAGACGAGAAUGCGUCCUCAAAGGUCUAUGUGUUUACUUGAACGAAAAUCCAGAGAAGCUGGUGAAGGAAUACACGAAUAUUGAAAGCAGUCAAACAGCUAUGGCGGAGACAGUCUUUGCAAUCCAUGUGAUUCGAAAAGAAGGAGCGGAGCCCAGUGAUGACCCAGAUGAAGUCGGAGUCAUUCUGGAGGGGGUGGAAGUGCUGAGCGAGUUGGGAAAUGUACCCUUUGCAGUGUCAAUGUUGCUUGCGCUUGUGUAUGCUCUCAACUUGAGCUACCCUCCAGAGCUCAAGUAUACUUUUGAAGUUCUGCAGAAAAUAAUAAUGGAACUAGACCCAAACAAACUAUCCAUAAAAGGACAAGCUCUCAAAAUAAAGCUAUCCCGUUAGACACAUUAUGAUGGCUAAAGCAGAUUAGACACUUCUGUGUGUGUUUAUUAUUUUCUGUAUUCCUGCGUGUUCACCAGUGCAUUAAUUAAGUAAUCACAAGUCUUUAAGAUGAAUGUUGUGAAUGUAAGAGGAUAAGAGGGAUGUUUGUACAAAGACAAAGUCUUCAGAGUUCAGGUCAAGACUGCACUAAUAACCACUGUUAGCACUUUCAAAAAUGUAUUUUAAUUGUGUAUGUGUCAUAGAAAGUUGAGAAAAGGUUUUGAUAUGUAUGUUUAUAAGAGAAGCUGCUCAUUAAAACAUUAUUCAGUGCCUACUUUGAGAAAUACAGUUGUAUUGCAACAUCUCUCGUUUG